rnacentral:rRNA from 1 species
AGAAGACUUGGUCCUGAUCUGUCUUAAUAGCUUUUAGCCUAAGAUUACACAUGGCUUUAUUUGAUCGUGAUGAGGGGGCUAUGAGUCUAUAAAAUCUUAAUUACAUUAAGUUUUAUUAGUUCAAGCUAAGAUUUUAUUUUUAACAUUAUAUCUUAAUAGGCUCAUUAACACCAGUGUUGAAUUUUAUUUUUUUGCGAAAGCAUGAAUUAGUUUGGCUAUCUUAGAUCUGGUAAAUUAGGUGCCAGCAGCCGCGGUUACACCUUAGAGAUCAAGUUAUUAUAUUAAAGGUAAAAAGGUAGUUAAACAAGAAGUCAUAGCCAUAAAAAGGAGUGCCUGUUGAGGUGAAAUUCUUUAAGGUACUUGAAGCCUAAAUAAAGCUGUUAUUGUUGACACUACGAAAACUAAGAUAGAAACUGGGAUUAGAUACCCCACUAUUCUUAGAUGUAAAUUGACAUGUUGUCUACCAGAGCACUACGAAUAUCUUAUUUAAAACUCAAAGGACUUGGCGGUGCUUUAGACCCCUUAGGGGAACCUGUUUCGUAAUCGACAGUCCACGUUACACCUUUCCUUUAGUUGCAAAUAUCAGUAUGUAUACCGUCGUCGUCAGGUAACUUUUAAGAACCAUAGAAGUUAGCCAUAAAAUUCGCUUAUAAGUUUUAACGUCAGAUCAAGGUGCAGCUCAUAAAAAGGAGAGAAUGGGUUACAAUUAAAAAUUAUAAUUAUGGAAGAGAAAUUGAAAUUUUUCUUUGAAGGAGGACUUGAAAGUAAAAAAGCUAUAAUAAAAGUUGCUUGAAUAUGUAUGGCUCUGAAGCGUGCACACAUCGCCCGUCGCUCUCGCUGAAAGGUGAGAUAAGUCGUAACAUAGUAAGAGUAAUGGAAGUUGCUCUUAGUCAGCA